ncrna:unclassified sequences skipping-rope RNA
AGUAGUAGAGGACGGAACGGGCGGCCGUCGCCCCUUGCAAAAGGUUAGGAGAUGUGGGAAUUGUCACCCCACCUAUUGCU